GGGCUUGUGGUACAGCGGUAGCACGCUCGCUUUGCAUGCGAGAGGUCCGGGGUUCAACUCCCCGCGGGUCCA
rnacentral:tRNA from 1 species